GCCACGUGGCUGGGCCCCGCCGCCACUCUCCCCCUUUCACCACCGCCUCUCAACAAACCCACUGCGCCAUCUAUCCUCUCCCUCGGAUUUCCCUCCCUCCUCCGUCGUCUCCGACAAUGUCUAACACCGUCGAUCCACUCUCCUCCACUCGUUACUGUAAGGAUGAUGAACACAAACACAUACCAGAUCCUGAGAACUUGGAGGAAAAUACGAAAUCUGGAAUUCUUAGAAAAGCCAAAAAUGUAUCUAGUAAAUUCAGGAAUUCUCUAAGAAACAAGAUCAAACGGAGAAAUGAUUCUGGAGUUUGUAAAGGUGAAGAUAUUCAUGAAAUCCGGGAUCAAAAGGCUGUUGAUGCUUUUCGACAAGCACUGAUGAUGGAUAAUUUACUUCCUUCAAGAUUUGAUGAUUAUCACAUUAUGUUGAGAUUUCUGAAAGCAAGGAAGUUCAACAUCAAUAAGGCAAAGAUCAUGUGGGCAGACAUGCUUGAAUGGAGAAAGAAUUUUGGUGCUGAUACAAUCAUGGAGGACUUUCACUUCAAAGAGUUGAAUGAGGUUCAACAAUAUUAUCCUCAUGGUUACCAUGGUGUUGACAAGGAUGGACGACCUGUAUACAUAGAGAGGUUGGGUAUGAUUGACGUUGAUAUGCUACUGCAGGUCACAAAUGUAGACAGAUUUGUAAAAUAUCAAGUCCAGGAGUUCGAGAGAAGUCUUGCCAUAAGAUUUCCUGCAUGCUCAGUUGCAGCAAACAAGCACAUAGGUUCAAGUACAACAAUUUUGGAUGUUGAAGGAUUGAAUUUAAUGAGUCUCACUGGCCCUGUUGUCGAAUUUAUUAAAGUGGUUCAGAAGGUUGAUAACGACAAUUAUCCUGAAACACUUUCGCGAAUGUUUAUUGUCAAUGCUGGUCCUGGCUUUCGGAUGAUAUGGAAUGUGGUCAAACCAUUACUUGAUCCUGAGACAACUUCGAAAAUCCAGGUUAUUGGCAGCAAUUAUCAGAGAAAGUUGCUUGAAGUAAUUGAUGAAAGUGAACUACCGAAUUUCUUUGGUGGUUGCUGUACCUGUGCAAUUGAAGGGGACUGCAUAAGGUCUGAUAAAGGACCAUGGAAUAACCAAAAUUUAUUGAAGAUGACUCCGGGUACAGAAGUGCAUCUUGUGCAGACAGCAUCAAUUUCAGAUAAUGAUGCAACUUAGUUGUCAUGGUUGAUAUUUUGUUGCGUCGUCGGAUGUAUCAUGCUGGGAAGUAUACAGUGACGAGCAACUGGAUGCACUGCGCUGGAAAAUCCGAGUGUCUUCCUGAUCACUUCGUUGCAAGAAAUGAACUAAGGCUGGUAGUGCAAUAUCAGCAUCCUCACUCUUGAUGAGCUCUCCAGUAACUUCAGCUGGCGUCGCCUCAACUUCCUCAAGCAGCUCUCCGAUCACCGGAAAGAACGAGUGGUCGUCAAUCCUCAGAUAGGUGGAAGCAAGUAUCUUGAAGCCACUGAAUGUGCAGUAAGACAUCUCCAAGUGCACAUCCAUUCGCCCCGGUCGGAGCAGCGCCGGAUCCAGCCUGUCCCUGUGAUUGGUGGUGAAGACUAUGCUCUUCUCAUCCCUACAACUCGACCACAGCCCAUCAAUGAAGUUCAGCAGCCCAGAUAAGAUGUGGCCUGAUUUGAUUUCUAAGAGCAAGGAAGGUGGAGUAGACGUUAUCGAAACAUAUGUAUUUUGGAAUGGUCAUGAGCCAGUAAGGGGACAGUAUGUGUUUGAAGGAAGAUAUGAUCUUGUGAAGUUUGUGAAGCAAGUGGCUGCCAAUGGACUUUAUUUUUUUCUCCGUAUAGGGCCUAAUGUAUGCGCGGAGUGGAAUUUCGAUUUGGGUUAUUCCCUCUUUGCUAAUUUUCCUUGAUGCAUGUAACUAUUUGCAUACUAAUCAUGACCAGCAACUAUUUAUCAAAAUUUUCAUUCACUAAUUUUGA